rnacentral:piRNA from 1 species
UUAGAGGACAGAGUUAGAGGACC